CCAAACCCCGGAGCUCGCGCAGCCUCAAUCGGGCAGGUGGCGCGCCUCGCUCUGGCCGCGACGGAGCGGGCGCGGGGACAGCUGGCCCCGAGGUGCGCGCAUGACGCUGUGUAGGCAGUCCAACGGUGGGCUGUGUGCCUCCUCGGCCCCCUUGCUUCUCUCUGAGCUGAGCUUCCUACUAUUCCUGAUAGUUCUUAACCUGAAGAUACGAUGUGACAACUGUAAAACUGUUCAAAGCCUGGCUUCUUGGAACUAGGAAUUACCUCUAGAGGAAGAAAAACUUAGUAGGAAAAAACCCAUUCUGAGAGGGGCAAUCCUAAUCUGAGAUGAGACUGCUGAAGGUCAUGGCCUGGCAUUAAACUCUCACAGCCAUCAUAUUGUGAGGACUCAGACCACAUGGAGAGGCCAUGUGUAAGUAUUCCAGUGACAGCUCUAGUGAUCGCAGCUGACAGCCACGGUCAACCACCAAACGUGUAAGUGAGCCUUCAGAUGAUCCUAGCCUACAUCAUUUGAGCUGCCCCAGCUGAUGCUGAAUGGAGCAGACCAGCUGUCUCAGCUGGAUCUGGCCCAAUUUGCAGAGUUGGAAGCAAAAUAAAGGUUUGAAGCCACUGAGUUUUGGGGUGGUUUAUUACACAGCAAUAACCCGAGCAGUGUUUUUAAUGUUAUCUAUAAUUCCCUCUAGAAGCCUGAGAAGUAGGUACUACUGCUAUCCUUUUCUGAAAGAUGAAGACACAUCCAGAGUUUCAGAGGGGUAAAAUGCCUGCCUUAGGUUUCACACUAAUUGGCAAAGCCAGGCUUUAAUAGCUUCAAAGAAUAAGUCUUCUCCACUACUCUAGAAAAGUCUCCAAGACAUUAAUGGGAAUUAGAUCUGCUUCUACGCACUUUAGGAAGAACUUGGAUUAUAAAAGCCUGAUUUUUAAAAUAAAAAUGACCAUUAAUCACCUGCAAUGUAUCUCUGCAUAGGCUUAAAAAAAAACAACUCAGCAGUUUUAUGGAGGUUACAAGGUUUUUACCCACCUUAUCUUGUUUAAUCCUGACAACUGCCCUAUGAGUGGGUUAUCUUCUCAAUUUUACAGAAGAGAAAACUGAGGCUCACUCCAAGGACAAAUUACCUAGUUCCACACCUUGUAGGAAGUGGCAGAGAUGGGAUGCAAACUCAAGCCCCACUUGCAAAUGUUUCCCUUUACCUCUUGCUGGCAAAAAAAGAUAGUUUGUAAGAAUCUUUAUUCAAUAAUACAGACGAAAAGAAAAACGUUAGCAUUGUUCUGUUGUCAAGACUCACAGAAGGGAGCAUAGUGGUCACUGCCCAACCUCCUAAUUACACAAGUUAAAAAAGUAAAGUCCAAAGAAACUAGGUCUCUUGAAUGAACUGUAGGCUUCGCUGCCCUUUGACGAGAAAAACUGCGUUCCCCUUCACACUCAUGUAUCAUUUCAUGUCAAUUCUGCGCAGUACCACAGGGCAGAAAACAGGGCUUUGACACCUCUGCAGACCAGGCUCACAAAUGACCUGUUUCCCAGCUUGGCACUUGCUGGCCCUGCUCACAUAUUUGCAUUUCUCUGCCCGCCCCCUGCCCCCCAGAGUCUCAGCUUUACGUUCUAGGCAUUUGACGUUUGCGAUGUCACAUUCUCCCAACCACACUCGCACUUCCCCUUCCCAUGCAGUUUAUGGGCGGGAAAAAACAUUAACUAAUUUCUCAGUUGCCUUUAUUGUCUAUCAAAGGCAACCGUGGCAAGCUGGCUUAUUAAUGCAGCAGCCAGUAAUUUCGUUUAACUCUCAUAAAUUUACAGAGACCAUCUUAGAGCGAAACUCAGAUAAGUCAGAGAAGGCUCGAAAAUGCGCAAGUUCUCCCAACCCAGAUUCCCACUGGCGCGAGCUGUACACAUGCAAUGGUGGUCGCGCCCAGCUUGCGACCCAGGACCACCUCGCCGCCGCCUUCCCAGAGCGGCGAGGCGCGGCUCCCGGGCCCCAAGCGCCGCCUGCUUCCCCUCCCAG